rnacentral:rRNA from 1 species
UACAAUGGAUGGUACAAAGGGUCGCCAACCCGCGAGGGGGAGCCAAUACCCAUAAAGCCAUUCGUAGUCCGGAUCGCAGUCCUGCAACUCGACUGCGUGAAGUCGGAAUCGCUAGUAAUCGUGGAUCAGAAUGUCACGGUGAAUACGUUCCCGGGUCUU